rnacentral:rRNA from 1 species
UCGCAGUCUGCAACUCGAGUGCAUGAAGCUGGAAUCGCUAGUAAUCGCAGGUCAGCAUACUGCGGUGAAUACCGUUCCCGGGUCUUGUACACACCGCCCGUCACACCAUGGGAGCCGGAAAUGCCCGAAGCCAGUGACCCAACCUUAGGGAGGGAGCUGUCGAAGGUGGAGCCGGUAACUGGGGUGAAGUCGUAACAAGGUACC